rnacentral:rRNA from 1 species
AUGAACGCUGGCGGCGUGCCUCAUCCAUGCAAGUCGAGCGAACAGACGAGGAGCUUGCUCCUUUGACGUUAGCGGCGGACGGGUGAGUAACACGUAGGUAACCUACCUAUAAGACUGGGAUAACUUCGGGAAACCGGAGCUAAUACCGGAUAAUAUUUCGAACCGCAUGGUUCGAUAGUGAAAGAUGGCUUUGCUAUCACUUAUAGAUGGACCUGCGCCGUAUUAGCUAGUUGGUAAGGUAACGGCUUACCAAGGCAACGAUACGUAGCCGACCUGAGAGGGUGAUCGGCCACACUGGAACUGAGACACGGUCCAGACUCCUACGGGAGGCAGCAGUAGGGAAUCUUCCGCAAUGGGCGAAAGCCUGACGGAGCAACGCCGCGUGAGUGAUGAAGGUCUUCGGAUCGUAAAACUCUGUUAUUAGGGAAGAACAAACGUGUAAGUAACUGUGCACGUCUUGACGGUACCUAAUCAGAAAGCCACGGCUAACUACGUG